AAGCGGAAAUGUAUAGGUGUAACCAAAAUCGUCCAGCGAAAUGCGAAUGGAGCUGAGUAAAUGUAGUUAAUCCCUAAUUAUAAUUUAAUUG